GACGAACGCUGGCGGCGUGCUUAACACAUGCAAGUCGAACGGAAAGGCCCUGCUUUUGUGGGGUGCUCGAGUGGCGAACGGGUGAGUAACACGUGAGUAACCUGCCCUUGACUUUGGGAUAACUUCAGGAAACUGGGGCUAAUACCGGAUAGGAGCUCCUGCUGCAUGGUGGGGGUUGGAAAGUUUCGGCGGUUGGGGAUGGACUCGCGGCUUAUCAGCUUGUUGGUGGGGUAGUGGCUUACCAAGGCUUUGACGGGUAGCCGGCCUGAGAGGGUGACCGGCCACAUUGGGACUGAGAGAGGGCCCAGACUCCUACGGGAGGCAGCAGUGGCGAAUAUUGCACAAUGGGCGGAAGCCUGAUGCAGCAACGCCGCGUGCGGGAUGACGGCCUUCGGGUUGUAAACCGCUUUCGCCUGUGACGAAGCGUGAGUGACGGUAAUGGGUAAAGAAGCACCGGCUAACUACGUG
rnacentral:rRNA from 1 species